rnacentral:rRNA from 1 species
UCUCAGUUCGGAUUGUAGUCUGCAACUCGACUACAUGAAGCUGGAAUCGCUAGUAAUCGCGAAUCAGAAUGUCGCGGUGAAUACGUUCCCGGGUCUUGUACACACCGCCCGUCACACCAUGGGAGUCGGUAACGCCCGAAGCCAGUGACCCAACAUUAAGAGGGAGCUGUCGAAGGCGGGACUGAUAACUGGGGUGAAGUCGUAACAAGGUACC